UACGGAGGGGCUAGCGUUGUUCGGAAUUACUGGGCGUAAAGCGCGCGUAGGCAGACCCGCAAGUCGGGGGUGAAAGCCCGAGGCUCAACCUCGGAACUGCCUUCGAUACUGCGGGUCUCGAGUCCGGGAGAGGUGAGUGGAAUUCCUAGUGUAGAGGUGAAAUUCGUAGAUAUUAGGAAGAACACCAGUGGCGAAGGCGGCCUACUGGGCUGCACCUGACGCUGAGCCGCGAAAGCCAGGGGAGCGAACGGG
rnacentral:rRNA from 1 species